UACGAAGGGGGCUAGCGUUGCUCGGAAUCACUGGGCGUAAAGCGCACGUAGGCGGAUUGUUAAGUCGGGGGUGAAAUCCUGGAGCUCAACUCCAGAACUGCCUUCGAUACUGGCGAUCUUGAGUCCGGGAGAGGUGAGUGGAACUCCGAGUGUAGAGGUGAAAUUCGUAGAUAUUAGGAAGAACACCAGUGGCGAAGGCGGCUCACUGGCCCGGUACUGACGCUGAGGCGCGAAAGCGUGGGGGAGCAAACAGG
rnacentral:rRNA from 1 species